rnacentral:lncRNA from 1 species
AUGCAUCUGUGGGUGCCCCUUCUGCCUGCACCCUUGGCCCAUGGGUGUCCCUUCAUGCCCAGACCUCCUACCUGCAGGUGCCCACCACCCAAGGGUGCCCCCUUUCCUGGUCACGCCCCCCAACCAAGGGUGCCCCUGCUCCUGCCAGGACCUCCCCCAGCCACGCAUCGCAGCAGCAGGCGUCCCUUCCGCAUGCACCCAUGGGUGCCCCCCACCCACGGGUGCCCACGCACCGAUGGAGCACUCGUCGACGUCCUGGUCGCAGGCGCCGCCGGUGAAGCCGGGGGGGCAGGUGCAGAUGGCGCGCCCGUUGACGGGGUUGGUGUCGCACACGGCGUCCUCGUGGCAGGGGUUGCUGACGCAGGCGUCGUCCAGGUGGCACAGCAGCCCUGGCGGGGGCCCGCCGGCRUCAGCGGCACCCUGGGGUGCCCCCCGCCCCGGCCGCCACGGCCCCACGUGCGGGGGGUCCAGGGUGGGACAGGGGGUGUGGGGCACCCACGGGCGGGGGUGACUGUGGGGUGUCCACCAUGUGCCCUGGGUGCUCCAGGGUGCAUCUGCCCCGGGCCAGGUGGGUCCACCCCACACCACGGGUGCCCCAGAGUACAUCUGCCCCACACCGUGGGUGCUCCAGGGUGCAUCUGCCCCGUGCCAGGUGGGUCCACCCCACACCAUGGGUGCUCCAGGGUGCAUCUGCCCCAUGCCAGGGGUGUCCACGCCACACCACAGGUGCCCCAGGGUGCAUCUACCCCACACCAUGGGUGCUCCAGGGUGCAUCUGCCCCAUGCCAGGGGUAUCCACCCCACACCAUGGGUGCUCCAGGGUGCAUCUACCCCACACCAUGGGUGCUCCAGGGUGCAUCUGCCCCAUGACAGGGGUGUCCACCCCACACCACGGGUGCCUCAGGGUGCAUCUGCCCCGUGCCAGGUGGGUCCACCCCACACCACGGGUGCCUCAGGGUGCAUCUGCCCCACACCAUGGGUGCUCCAGGGUGCAUCUGCCCCAUGA